AGAAAACUAAGUUUGCUCCUAAAAAAUAGGAAGCAAAUAGGAAGCAUGAAAGAUAGGAAAUAAAACUAAAACAAGCAACAUUUAAAAUAGGAACAUCUAUGGUACAGGAAAAUCUCUACAAAGGGUUUCUACUUUGAUCUGAAAAAUGAGAUUUUAGCUGCCAUAUUCCAAUUCUCAGGUCCAUUAUGGAGCAAAUGUGCGUGCGUGGAUGGAUCAGAAGAGCACAUUGUCCUGUCUGCAAGUACUGUAGCUUCUUCCAUUUCCUCGGAUUUGGUCAGAGAAAGAGAUAUCAGAUCGUGGAAGUUGCAUUAAGAAAGACUUCAACUUCUUUUAACAUCAUUAAAUUGCAUACUGAAGCAGACAGAGCGAAGGGCAGCCAGCCCAAAUUGGUUGGGAUCUAACCCUUCCAUUUCCUAACCAUUUUUGUAAACAUUUAUGAACACAUAGGGAGAGGCCUACGGAUUCAAGUGGGGGUAAAUUCUAGGUCUCACCAUUGCUAAAAGGAAUCAAGAAAUCUGCCAAUCACGCUAGGUUUGGUUACUCUUGUUGUACCCUUUAAUUAUUGUUGAAUACUUACUGAAAUUCAAUUAAAUUAAAUUAGACCCGUUAUGAAAAUACACAUGAAACACGCUUGCACCAAUUUAGAAUCAACAAUUAUGUUAUAUUGACUUUACAGUUUGCAACUUAAAGGAGAUUUAGUUUAGUUUGGCAUACUGGAGAAGAAGCUAAGCAUCAACAUGGGGGAGAAAUCGCAGAAUCUCAUCUCCUUGGCCCAACAGCUNNN
rnacentral:lncRNA from 1 species